rnacentral:rRNA from 1 species
UACGGAAGGCAGCAGUGGGGAAUAUUGCACAAUGGGCGCAAGCCUGAUGCAGCCAUGCCGCGUGUAUGAAGAAGGCCUUCGGGUUGUAAAGUACUUUCAGUCGUGAGGAAGGUGUUAAGGUUAAUAACCUUAGCAAUUGACGUUAGCGACAGAAGAAGCACCGGCUAACUCCGUGCCAGCAGCCGCGGUAAUACGGAGGGUGCGAGCGUUAAUCGGAAUUACUGGGCGUAAAGGGCACGCAGGCGGUUAUAAGUUGGAUGUGAAUCCCCGGGCUUAACCUGGGAAUGGCAUUCAAGACUGGUUAGCUAGAGUCUUGUAGAGGGGGUAGAAUUCCAUGUGUAGCGGUGAAAUGCGUAGAGAUGUGGAGGAAUACCGGUGGCGAAGGCGGCCCCUGGACAAGACUGACGCUCAUGUGCGAAAGCGUGGGGAGCAACAGGGAUUAGAUACC